GCAUGAAGGCAACCUCCAUCUGUUCAGUGACACCAGCUUUCUAAGACUUUGCUGCUGCUGGAAAAGCAUCAGAGGCGCUGGCUCUCAAAUAUCGUUGUCGUCACUCCCUUGGGUUUAUUUCCUUUGAUUCUCCCACCUUUUCCUCAGUCAUGAUUUUAGUUGCAGAAAGCACUCUGAAGAGAUGCAUGAAAUGACUUUGAAGAACUCAUCCUGGUACCCACAAACGGUGGAAUGAAGAGAGACUAGAGCUACGAGGGAGCUGGAAGCCAUCUCAAGAGAGACCAGAACUG